GAGAUAACUCCUACGGGAGGCAGCAGUGGGGAAUUUUGGACAAUGGGGGCAACCCUGAUCCAGCAAUGCCGCGUGAGUGAAGAAGGCCUUCGGGUUGUAAAGCUCUUUUGUCAGGGAAGAAACGGUAGUAGCUAAUAUCUAUUACUAAUGACGGUAACUGAAGAAUAAGCACCGGCUAACUACGUGCCAGCAGCCGCGGUAAUACGUAGGGUGCAAGCGUUAAUCGGAAUUACUGGGCGUAAAGCGUGCGCAGGCGGUUGUGUAAGUCAGAUGUGAAAUCCCCGGGCUCAACCUGGGAAUUGCAUUUGAGACUGCACGGCUGGAGUGUGUCGGAGGGGGGUGGAAUUCCGCGUGUAGCAGUGAAAGGCGUAGAUAUGGGGAGGAAUACCGAUGGCGAAGGCAGCCCCCUGGGAUAACACUGACGCUCAUGCACGAAAGCGUGGGGAGCAAACAGGAUUAGAAACCCUAGUAGUCCUCCACU
rnacentral:rRNA from 1 species